rnacentral:rRNA from 1 species
UAUGGAAGCUUGCUUCCACUGAGAAGAUAGUGGCGGACGGGUGAGUAACACGUGGGUAACCUGCCCAUAAGAGGGGGAUAACAUCCGGAAACGGGUGCUAAUACCGCAUAGUUUUCUUGAUCGCAUGAUUGAGAAAGGAAAGACGGCCUUUGUGCUGUCGCUUAUGGAUGGACCCGCGGCGUAUUAGUUAGUUGGUGAGGUAACGGCUCACCAAGACGAUGAUACGUAGCCGACCUGAGAGGGUGAUCGGCCACAUUGGGACUGAGACACGGCCCAAACUCCUACGGGAGGCAGCAGUAGGGAAUUUUCCGCAAUGGACGAAAGUCUGACGGAGCAACGCCGCGUGAGUGAAGAAGGUUUUCGGAUCGUAAAACUCUGUUGUCAGAGAAGAACAAGUCGGAGAGUAACUGCUCCGGCCUUGACGGUAUCUGACCAGAAAGCCACGGCUAACUACGUGCCAGCAGCCGCGGUAAUACGUAGGUGGCAAGCGUUGUCCGGAUUUAUUGGGCGUAAAGCGAGCGCAGGCGGUUCCUUAAGUCUGAUGUGAAAGCCCACGGCUCAACCGUGGAAGGUCAUUGGAAACUGGGGAACUUGAGUACAGAAGAGGAGAGUGGAAUUCCAUGUGUAGC